AGAGAUUGCUGCCCUAUGGGAAUUUUCAGCAAGCCCCUACCUUAGGGAACUGGUUUUUACAUGAAACAGACCUUCUUUUGAGUGAAUACCUGGAGCAUGCUGAUUGAAUAGAUACUGGAAGUAAUAAGAUGUUGUCCAACUACCAACUGCCAUAAGUAACAAAAAGAUCACAGCUCGUACAUUUGUUUUGCCUUUCACCAAAUUCUGAGAGUGUGGGGAAGUGGCUGUCACAAUGGAAGAGGAGGACCUGGUUCUGUAGUGGGUUCAAUCAUGAUGUGAAUUUUCAUCCUGGAAUGGCAAGACUGAAGUUCUCCUACGUUUCUGAGAGGUGUUAUCACAAAGGCUGAGAUAGAAUCAGAUACCCUAGGAAGUGAAGAGCUAGACAUGCAUUGUGGCUAAAGAACAGUUUCUGAAUUAGAGAACAUAUCAGCUUAAAAUACUCUUGUGAAGAGUGGACACAGAGAUAAUGCUAUUCUACAUAUGCAGAAUUUUGCCCUUUGAAUAUAUCUCAAAAGAUAUUUUCCAGGAAAAUUGGUCUUCUGCACAAUGGGAACACAGCUCAGUCUUCUGUAUCUCUCCAGCACUCAGUGAUGUGUACCUAAAUCUCUGUAAAACUCAUUUUGUACAGUCUUGAUAUAUUUGUAGUUCUCUAAAGCAGCUACUGACAGAUAACCAGUUAUUUCACUAUGAAGCCUAUAAUAGCUGUUUAUUUCCCAGUGAAACUUUGUCAAAACUGGCACCUGGAUACUGUGAUUGCUGCUGUACAAAUAGUUAUAACUGAUAAAGAAAACUAGCCUAAACAAUAUACUGCUGCUUCUGUAGAAGCAUGUGUGCAAAUACAUAAAUGGCUAAAAAUCCUGAUAGUUUCUCAUAUUUACAUGUGGGGCAUUUUUGUUUGCUUGUUUUUUAAUCC